UUGAAUAAAAACUUUUAGUUUUAUUUUUCAUAUUCCCUGUUUAUAUUAAAUACGUUUCUUCCAUCGGACAGGUCUUUUUGGGACCCUCUGGCUUGAGCAAAUGCUUUUUGCUGGGGAGUUUUCCGGUGGCAAUUUCUAAGAAAAAAAUCUUUUGUUAUUUAUGAACUGUCUGAAUGAUAACUUUUUAAAUUGAAUA
rnacentral:misc_RNA from 1 species